rnacentral:piRNA from 1 species
UGUGGAACCAAUGUAUCAGUGUGUUCAAG